rnacentral:rRNA from 1 species
AGAGUUUGAUCCUGGCUCAGGACGAACGCUGGCGGCGUGCUUAAUACAUGCAAGUCGAGCGAGGUUACUGUUUUGGAUCCCUUCGGGGUGAAGAAGCUUUAACCUAGCGGCGGACGGGUGAGUAACGCGUGGGUAACCUACCCCAAAGUCCGGGAUAACAGCGGGAAACCGCUGCUAAUACCGGAUGCCUUUACCUUGGGGCAUCUUGAGGUAAAGAAAGGUAACGCUUUGGGAUGGGCCCGCGUCCCAUUAGCUAGUUGGUGAGGUAACAGCUCACCAAGGCGACGAUGGGUAGCCGGCCUGAGAGGGUGGACGGCCACACUGGGACUGAGACACGGCCCAGACUCCUACGGGAGGCAGCAGUAGGGAAUAUUGCGCAAUGGACGGAAGUCUGACGCAGCGACGCCGCGUGAGCGAUGAAGGCCUUCGGGUUGUAAAGCUCUGUCCUUGGGGAAGAAGGUCUUCGGACUUGACGGUACCCAAGAAGAAAGCCCCGGCUAACUACGUGCCAGCAGCCGCGGUAAU